UGGUUCUGGCAUCGAUGAAGAACGCAGCAAAAUGCGAUAAGUAAUGUGAAUUGCAGAAUUCAGUGAAUCAUCGAAUCUUUGAACGCACAUUGCGCCCGCCAGUAUUCUGGCGGGCAUGCCUGUUCGAGCGUCAUUUCAACCCUCAAGCCCAGCUUGGUGUUGGGAUCUGCGUUGAUUCGCAGUCCCCAAAUUGAUUGGCGGUCACGUCGAGCUUCCAUAGCGUAGUAAUUUUACACCUCGUUACUGGUAAUCGUCGCGGCCACGCCGUUAAACCCCAACUUCUGAAUGUUGACCUCGGAUCAGGUAGGAAUACCCGCUGA
rnacentral:misc_RNA from 1 species